rnacentral:lncRNA from 1 species
UACAAAAAAUCGAAAGUUAAUAAAUAUCACAAAACAACUAAUAGAGCCCUUGAUUUAAGUAAAUAAUUUUAACUCUAAAAUGUUUUAUUCUAUACUUACCAUUACAGGUUUUCUCAAAAAUAACUUAUGAAGACAAAUAGCCAAAUAACAUUUUAAUUUCGUACAUAAGAUCAGUAAUUCUUCCUUUUAACCUACUUAGUAGGAUCUCUUGGGGUCCAUAGGGAUAUCCUUCUACUCGUGGACCGAGUAUCAAGAUUUGAAAAUUAAAUCAGUCGUCCUCCUACCCUUUCCGGUAAUAGGCACUAAAAACACCAUUGCUCGAUACUCCGUCCGAUAUGAGGAUGAACCAUAUCUCUCAAAACCCUUCUGAUAUAGGACUUCUCAACCCUGUUCGACUGAGAUAUUGUCUACAGUAAGGUUCCUUAUGUACCGGGUCCGUUCACCCUUUCCUAGGAUGCCCAAGAGUUGUGAAUGCUUUCUCUGUCUCAACUAAUCAAUACUCGACUUUUUCGAAAGAGGAUGCCUCUGCAAAGGU